rnacentral:rRNA from 1 species
GACGAACGCUGGCGGCGUGCCUAAUACAUGCAAGUCGAACGGUAACAGGCCGCAAGGUGCUGACGAGUGGCGAACGGGUGAGUAAUGCAUCGGAACGUGCCCAGUCGUGGGGGAUAACGCAGCGAAAGCUGUGCUAAUACCGCAUACGAUCUAUGGAUGAAAGCGGGGGACCGUAAGGCCUCGCGCGAUUGGAGCGGCCGAUGUCAGAUUAGGUAGUUGGUGGGGUAAAGGCUCACCAAGCCAAGGAUCUGUAGCUGGUCUGAGAGGACGACCAGCCACACUGGGACUGAGAAACGGCCCAGACCCCUACGGGAGGCAACAGUGGGGAAUUUUGGACAAUGGGCGCAAGCCUGAUCCAGCAAUGCCGCGUGCAGGAAGAAGGCCUUCGGGUUGUAAACUGCUUUUGUACGGAACGAAACGGCGAGCUCUAAUACAGUUUGCUAAUGACGGUACCGUAAGAAUAAGCACCGGCUAACUACGUGCCAGCCGCCGCGGUAA